rnacentral:rRNA from 1 species
GAUGAACGCUGGCGGCGUGCCUAACACAUGCAAGUCAAACGGAGUCCAGCCUUUAAGACCUUCGGGUCAAAGAGGGGAAGACUGAGUGGCGGACGGGUGAGUAACACGUGGGCAACCUGGCUCAUAGAGGGGGAUAACAGAGAGAAAUUUCUGCUAAUACCGCAUAAGCACACACUGCCGCAUGGCAGAGGGUGAAAAGAGAAUCGCUAUGAGAUGGACCCGCGUCUGAUUAGCCAGUUGGCAGGGUAAGAGCCUACCAAAGCGACGAUCAGUAGCCGAUCUGAGAGGAUGAACGGCCACAUUGGGACUGAGACACGGCCCAAACUCCUACGGGAGGCAGCAGUGGGGGAUAUUGCACAAUGGGGGGAACCCUGAUGCAGCGACGCCGCGUGAGUGAAGAAGUAUUUCGGUAUGUAAAGCUCUAUCAGCAGGGAAGAUAAUGACAGUACCUGAAUAAGAAGCCCCGGCUAACUACGUG